rnacentral:rRNA from 1 species
AGAGUUUGAUCCUGGCUCAGAUUGAACGCUGGCGGCAUGCCUUACACAUGCAAGUCGAACGGCAGCGCGGGGCAACCUGGCGGCGAGUGGCGAACGGGUGAGUAAUAUAUCGGAACGUGCCCUGGAGUGGGGGAUAACGCAGCGAAAGUUGCGCUAAUACCGCAUACGAUCUAAGGAUGAAAGCAGGGGACCGCAAGGCCUUGUGCUCCUGGAGCGGCCGAUAUCUGAUUAGCUAGUUGGUGGGGUAAAGGCCUACCAAGGCAUCGAUCAGUAGCUGGUCUGAGAGGACGACCAGCCACACUGGAACUGAGACACGGUCCACACUCCUACGGGAGGCAGCAGUGGGGAAUUUUGGACAAUGGGCGCAAGCCUGAUCCAGCAAUGCCGCGUGAGUGAAGAAGGCCUUCGGGUUGUAAAGCUCUUUUGUCAGGGAAAAAACGGUGGGGGCUAAUAUCCCCUGCUAAUGACGGUACCUGAAGAAUAAGCACCGGCUAACUACGUGCCAGCAGCCGCGGUAAUACGUAGGGUGCAAGCGUUAAUCGGAAUUACUGGGCGU